UUGAGAGUCAGGAAGCCUGAGGUCUAAUUUUAGCUGUCAUGACCAGCUGUGCAAUAUCAGGGAUAAUACAAUGAGAGUGGUAUCUGAAGGGCUGUCGUGAGGAAGAACAACUAGACUUUUACACAGCCAUCUCCUAUUGGGAUGAUUUACAGGACCCAGAUCAGAACGUACGAGAGGGAACAUGACCUUGCCACAGCCAUGACUUCAAAUAUAUAUGUUUGUGGUACAUGGCAUGUGUGUGUGUGUAUACAUGUGUGUGUAUUGCAACAGCCAGCAAGCCACCAGCAUGUCCCAACACCCCAGGUGAGAACCACUAUAAUAGAGGGAUUCUUUAUAUAGAGUGGGAA